ACCAUGCAACGAUCUUGAGAAUUAUUUGAAAAUGAAAAGGUGUAACCAAAAUCUGAAAGUGUGAGAGUUAUUGAGUAUUGCCAGAAGGGAAGUAACUCUUAUAACAAGUUUGCUAAAAAACUUUCAUUUGUUAUCAUUGCAUCAUUAAGGCACAGUUAAUUAUAAGAUUUUUUUCUGAAUAUAAAAAAAAUCUAACAAAUUUUAUCUUCCUUCAUAUUUGGAAAAAGAUAAUGUUUUAUACUUGUUGGAAUAUAAACACAAGGACAGUACCUAAGCUUAAGAUGUAGAAAGAAGGAAAACUGUAACUGAAUUUGUAGAUAGGAUGUAGGGGCAUUAUUCAAAUAUUAAGACCUCAAUUCGGUCACAUGACUUUCCGUGUCUGACCUUACACCACUUUGUCAUACCUGUCUGCAUCUGGAUCUGCAGCUAAUAUAUAAAUGUCCACUAGCCAAAAGUUUUUAAUACUUUUAAAUGUCUUUUCUGAAAUUUGCAUGACUUGCAAAGAUAUUUUUAUUAUCAAAUUGUUGCAGGUAUACAAAGAGUCAAGGUAUUGUAAUUAGUCAUUUGUGAGUGUUACGUUUCAGGUACGUCAGGCAAAUGAAGCUUCAUGAUGUAAAAAGUAAGAUGUUACUUUGUAGGAACAAAAGUACACAUGUUUAACCACAGCCGGCAAUGAAUGAAGAACUACACCAGGAAUAUAAAUACAUUGACGGAAACACGGCUUAAAUUGUUAGAUGAAGUGAAGACUAUAACUGAAUCUGUAGUAAAGGUUCAUCAGAUAUUAUCUAAGCAGCCUAAGAAACAUAAAGACAUAGGUGGAACCACAGCUUGAAAAGAAUGAGGAAAUAAAUCUAUAGCUGGAUCUGUAGCCAAGAUUCAGCAGAUAUAAUUCAAACAACAAUAAGAAGAGGACAAUUGUGGCCUCGAGUCGGUCAAAUGAUCUUGAGUAUUUGACCUUGCACCAGUAUGUCAAAUAGGUCUAUAAGUGGAUCUGCAGAUGGAACCACAACUUGAAAUGUCACUGUGUGAACUAAGGUGUAGAUAAUAACCGGCAAAUGUUAUCCAAACAAGAAGAAUUAAGAAGAGAACCAUGGAUGCCUUAAGUCGCUCACAUGACCAUGGGUAUUUGACGUUGCACCAUCAUUACAUACAUGCCUAAUAACCUACAGGUAAUAUUUUAACAUGCGCAAGUCAGAAUUAUUAGAUACUUCAAGACUAAAUGUCUGACGUUUAGUUUUUACGUCUUUUAAAGAU